rnacentral:rRNA from 1 species
UCUCAGCACACCAGUGAGAACGCCCUUUCAACCUUCACCAGGUCAAGGAGCUGGCAUCAGACACUAACCCAAGUCCAUAACGCCUAGUCUCACCACACCCCCAAUGGUCAUCAGCAGUGAUAAAUUUUGAGCAUAAGCGAUAGCUUGACUCAGUUAGAGAAAAGAGGGCCGGCCAACCCGGUGCCAGCCGCCGCGGCUACCCCGUGGGGCUCAAGUUGAAAGUCAUCGGCGUUAAGCGUGAUUAAAGUCCAUUCAGAUUAGGGCUAAAUUAAUACUCAGUUGUUUAAAGCUCGUCAUUAAGAAGAACAUAAACGAAAGUUGCCCUAACCCCCACACUUGAAUUCACGACAGCUGGGGAACAAACUGGGAUCAGAUACCCCACUAUGCCCAGCCGUAAACAAUUAAUUUACAACUAUAAGCGCCAGGGAAUUACGAGCCAUGCUUAAAACCCAAAGGAUUUGACGGUGUCCCACCCCCCUAGAGGAGCCUGUUCUAUAAUCGAUGAUCCCCGCUAUACCCGACCACUUCUUGCUCAUCAGUCUGUAUACCUCCGUCGAAAGCUUACCAUGUGAACGCCACUCAGUAGGUUCAAUGAUCCCCAUCAACACGUCAGGUCAAGGUGCAGCUCAAGAAGUGGGAAGUAAUGGGCUACAAUUUCUAAUCUAGAACAAACGAAAGACUAUGUGAAAUCAUAGUCCAGAAGGCGGAUUUAGUAGUAAAAAGAAAAUAGAGUGUUCUUUUUAACCCGGCUCUGGGACGCGUA